rnacentral:sRNA from 1 species
CGUGAUACUUGUUUACAUGUAAGCGCGC